AUCGCUUCUCGGCCUUUUGGCUAAGAUAAAGUGUAGUAUCUGUUCUUAUCAGUUUAAUAUCUGAUAUGUUUUCCAUGUGAGGACUACAUAUUAAACAGAUUUUUAGCACUGGGAGCUGAAAAAGGGGCUUUUUCCUUUCACUCCACGCAUCGACCUGGCAUUGCAGUGCUGCCGGGAACGGUGCACCCUUC
rnacentral:snRNA from 1 species